ACGAAAGAAGCAUAGUGGAAGCGAGGCAUUAGUUACUUAACUGCUCACUUCCUCCUUUCCUAGACCCCGGUAGUGUAGCGGUAAAACGGAACGGGAACUUCCGCGCCUGCUGGAGUCCAGUGUUUGCUGUUCCGCAAGGUACUACCCUGUAGAAGUUUCAUCAACAGCAUCGGUGAUCGAACAGCAGCGAGCGUCAUGUCGUCCUUCAAGGUGCGACCGGCGCGACGGGAAGACGCCGAGGUCGUGCUGGCCAUGAUGGUCGAGCUGAACGACUUCCAGGAACUGCCGCCGCCGCUGAUCACCCUGGACGGACUGCGGCGGGACGUGUUCGACAACGAGCGGCCUUACGUCAGCGUCAACCUGGCCGUCUCGCCUUCGUCAGACGGUAACGGCGAAGUCGGUCGUGGGCCAGGUAAUCUUCUUCGUCAUAUUCGACGCCGUGUUGCUGCAGAAGCUGGUCUACAUCGAGGACAUCUACGUGCGUCCCGAGUACCGCCGCCGGGGUGUCGGCCUCGCCCUCUGGAAGUCGGCGGCCGAGCAGGGAGUGCUUCGCGACUGCGACGGAUUGCGCCUCGAGGUACUCGGCACCAACAAGGAGGCCGUGGACUUCUACGCGAAGCGAGGCGCCAGGGAUCUCGGUCCCGUCUGCGGUUUCCAGCACUUCAAGCUCGUCUGGGACGCCUCCUCCGAUGGCAUAAAGGCGUGAUGGUGGCGCGACACUUUCCCACGUGCUUGCAGCGCGCCACUCGACACUCGCGAAGGCAGCCGCUUUUCUCUUUCCUUCCGUGGUGGUGGUGGCUGAAAAACAUUUAUUUAUGGAAGUCAAGUACAGGGAGGGUGACGAGUGGUCCUUGAAAAGCGUAAGUGUCUCUCUCCCUUGCUAAGGUGAAGGCUUGGGCAAAUUGGUUCACUCAUACAGCACUCUGUCCUGUAUUCUCCUGUUUCUUCCCUGUCGUUCUCGUGCUGUAUUUUUAUAAUGUUUUUUUUUCUCGCGCCGACCAAAUCGCUCCCUGCACUUUUCUCGCCGCUGUCGCCGGUUGCCCGUCCAAGCAAACCACCAAUCAGAGCCUGCUUUUUCCCCCUUUUUCUUCUCACAUCGGCGGAUAGCAACCGGACAUUUUUUUUUUUUUCCACGCCACCUCUCUCCAUCGGUCGGGGUCAAGUCACGAGCCAGCGGGAGCAUGCGCCUUGAUACCUCCACGCUUGUCAUAAUUCCCGCGCCGUCAAUGUGAACAGCUGGCCGCUGCUUGCCAAGCCGAGGCGCCGACGGGCGGCACGCCGCCGUGACAUGCAAUUCCGCCAGUGUGCACGCACCUUUACGAUUGAGACGGCACGCGGCGAAUCAUUUCCGGCCGCACUGCGUCAAGAACGAAAAACGGUGUCCUUUGAACAGCGUUCUGCAACGCUUUCAAUUCAAUUCCAAGAACAGCUGUGCAAUAACGCGUUCUCCCUCGAGGCUCACUCUAUUCGAACCAUAGUGAAGGAAACAACAACAUAGGUUUGUUUCCUGAAAGCAAUACUCUGCCAAUACUCAAACCCUCCACCUGAAGACCACAUUGUGCCUGUAUACUUUGUUAACGUUAGAGUGCUUCUCAAGUACAAUGUCUUACCAUUGCGGAAGACCUGUCCCGUGGCAUCAAGGCAUCGCGUGCUUUUGAGAGUUAUAUGCUGAAGUGAAUUAGCCUCAAGGCUAUAUCUUUAAUAAGCGUUACACCGAUUGUUCAAGACAUUUCACCUGAAGACUGUACCGUGCCUUUAAAUUGCACUGUAAGCGGAAAACGGUGUUAUGCAAAGGCGGAUUCCUGCUCAUGCGUGAAUGUUAAUUAGCGGCAUGGAGAUUUCUGUGUAUUACACAUAGCGCUGUCCUUGUCAACGUUUUUUUCGCAGAUUUUUGUAGAGAUGCAAUACCUUGUCGGUCAAGAAGCCACUCUUCUGAAAUAACGAGGACCACUUGCCCGAGAAGUUUUGUACCAAGACAGAAGACCUGUACCUGAUCAAGCAACUGGUGCCCAGACUACGUAACGCAACCUGAAGAGUAUAUUUAUCUAAACUUCGUUGUGUAAAUCGUUCAGCAGUUCUAGCUGAAGUCUAGCCGGCUUAUACACGAGUCAUGUCUAGAUACUGUGCCUUAGUCAUGACUCAAAUGAGAAUGCAUACUGCGGUCAUUCUGCAGGGCGAUGACACGUUCGUGCACAUAAAAGACGGAGUAAAGGCUAUGCCACA
rnacentral:lncRNA from 1 species